AAGAAAUUGAUUAAGUGUUGAAGUGUUUAUAAAGUGAGAGAUUUAGAAGAACUUGUGAAGGAAGAAAGUGAUUAAGUGUUUAUAAAAGAGAUAGAAGAAGUUUGAAAUAACUUGAGAGAGAUAAGUGGACUUGAUAUGAAAGUUUGAAAUAACUUGAGAACUUGUAUUUAUAAAGUUUCAUUUAUACACCCUUUGAAAACUUGUGUCGGUGACAUGAGUUAUGCUAUAAAAUAAUACAAGACAAAAUGUGAUACAACUCUCUACGAACUCUC
rnacentral:lncRNA from 1 species